rnacentral:rRNA from 1 species
AACGAACGCUGGCGGCAGGCCUAACACAUGCAAGUCGAACGCUCCGCAAGGGGAGUGGCAGGCGGGUGAGUAACACGUGGGAAUCUUCCUAUUGGUACGGAAUAGCUCAGGGAAACUUGGGGUAAUACCGUAUAAGCCCGUGAGGGGAAAGAUUCAUCGCCGAUAGAUGAGCCCGCGUCUGAUUAGCUAGUUGGUGAGGUAACGGCUCACCAAGGCGACGAUCAGUAGCUGGUCUGAGAGGAUGACCAGCCACACUGGGACUGAGACACGGCCCAGACUCCUACGGGAGGCAGCAGUGGGGAAUAUUGGACAAUGGGCGCAAGCCUGAUCCAGCCAUGCCGCGUGAGUGACGAAGGUCUUCGGAUUGUAAAGCUCUUUUGCCAGGGACGAUAAUGACGGUACCUGGAGAAUAAGCCCCGGCUAACUUCGUGCCAGCCGCCGCGGUAACAC